rnacentral:lncRNA from 1 species
UCUUUUUCAAAGGGUGUAUUCUUAUCUGCAGUCUCUUUGUCCCUCUUUAGCGUUUUGUGCUCUCUCUGCUUCCUGGUCACCUCGAGGCAAGCAGCUUUCCUCCCCUUCUGCCGUGAUGUUCUACCUUGGAAGACCAUGCACUGAAACUCUGAAACCGUGAACCAUAAACCUCUUCUUUGACUUGUACUUGUCAACAACAGAAAGCUGGCCAGUACAUAGUCUUUGCCACACCAUCCAUCUAUUGAGGUUAAGUAUGGGAUGGUGACAUCACAGGAGAAGGACAAGGACCAGAGGUUCUGACAGAGCCAGGAGAAGCAGGAGGAGCAGUGCCUUGUCUAUGCUGCUAGGUGGCUUUGGAUACCCCACAACUAUUUCAGAUGACUGCCUCACAGCCUCUCUGGAUGGCUCUGUGCCUCUGCAGUUUCUGCCUCUGCAGAGAAGUCCCACCCUUCAUCAUGGUGAAGCAAAAAGUCUGAAACCAACCUGCAGGACACCACACCUCCAUGAGCCCAUCUUUUUACCUACAUAAUAAGCUCUCCUCUGCUGCUUAACAUACUAGCCCAUGCGCUACAUCCCACUGUGCUGUGGUUUUGCAUAUUUGUUAUGAUUUUCAUCUCAACUAGAGCAGUCUGAGCUGUUUGCACUAAGAGCCGGUAACACUAAAGGCUGAUGGCCCCAUGUCCUACUUUCUCAUCACUGAACACAACGCUCGACAUCCACAAUUUAAAGCAGUUUAUUUUGGUUCAUUGUUUUAGUCCAUAGUCAGUUGGCUCCAGAGUAGAGACAGGAUCGUGGAAGGGUAUGGAGGAGGAAAGCUCCUGGCACCAUGGCAGCUAGCAAACAGAGAAAGAAAGAAGGAGCCAGGGAUGAGAACACGCCCUUCCAGGUCAUGGUCCUGGUCACUUACCAGGAGCACUUCCUACCAGCACAUUCAGCUAUGAUCUCAUCAGUGGACUAAUCCACUCCAAUAAUCCAUUUCCCUUCCACACACAUUAUACUUUGUGGGGGACAUUAAGAUUAAACCGUUAUACAUCAAAAGCAGCCACUAGCCAGGGCUGGUAACACUAAAGGUAACUUUAAACCAGAAUGCAAUGGAGAGCUGUUAGGAGCUGCUAGCUCUGGUUGCCAGAAAAGUUCUACUAGAAAAGCAGUGAAGAGAGCUGUUAACUAGAGAGCUGCUAACACUAGGACCUGAGUGUUGCAGACACUGAAGGGUUAGGUGUGCUAAGAGCUGAAACCCACUGGCUUGCAAAGCUCAUGAUUUCUGUGAUAACUCGGACCCCGGAAGCAAGAAAUUAAAAUUUGGGAAGCAAAGGCUUUAUUUCCAGGCCUGGUGACACAGCCUCCAGGAGCCAAUUUGGAGACUGCGUACCUCACAGCUAAAAGUCAGGUCUUUUAUCUUGUAAAUCCACAAACAGCUGCUGGUCACACAAUGUAAAGAAGGGGAUGGGGGUGUGACGCACUACAAAGCAGAAACGGCAAUUGCAAGUCUCCCUGCAUACUAGCAAGUUUAGAUAAGAAGAAAUCUUGUUUUUCUUAGCAAAGAAUAGAGAAGUCUAACAGCAAUUAACAACCUUAGUUACCUUACUUUAGCACCACAACUGUUAUUUGUAGAGGGCAACAAUGGUUAACAUAUCAAUUAGGUAAGAUUUUACAAUUCUUUACAGAGGAGAGCAUUGAUUAACAUAUCAAUCCUUUACUCAGAGGGAAAAGGAACACACAGGUAUUGCUAUGAUACAAACGAAGCUAUUGCAGUCUAAUGCAAUUAACACAAUUUGUGACAGGCUACCGGGUAGGGAAGACCCGG